CCUACGGGGGGCAGCAGUGGGGAAUAUUGCACAAUGGGGGAAACCCUGAUGCAGCGACGCCGCGUGAGCGAUGAAGUAUUUCGGUAUGGAAAGCUCUAUCAGUAGGGAAGAAAAUGACGGUACCUGACUAAGAAGCCCCGGCUAACCACGGGCCAGCAGCCGCGGUAAUACGUAGGGGGCAAGCGUUAUCCGGAUUUACUGGGUGUAAAGGGAGCGUAGACGGCGGUGCAAGCCAGAUGUGAAAGCUCGGGGCGCAACCCCGGGACUGCAUUUGGAACUGUGCUGCUAGAGUGUCGGAGAGGCAGGCGGAAUUCCUAGUGUAGCGGUGAAAUGCGUAGAUAUUAGGAGGAACACCAGUGGCGAAGGCGGCCUGCUGGACGAUGACUGACGUUGAGGCUCGAAAGCGUGGGGAGCAAACAGGAUUAGAUACCCGAGUAGUC
rnacentral:rRNA from 1 species